rnacentral:rRNA from 1 species
CCUACGGGAGGCAGCAGUGAGGAAUAUUGGUCAAUGGACGGAAGUCUGAACCAGCCAUGCCGCGUGCAGGAAGACGGCUCUAUGAGUUGUAAACUGCUUUUGUACAAGCGUAAACCUGAAUACGUGUAUUCAGCUGAAAGUACUUUACGAAUAAGGCUCGGCUAACUCCGUGCCAGCAGCCGCGGGAAUACGGAGGAUCCAAGCGUUAUCCGGAUUUAUUGGGUUUAAAGGGUGCGUAGGCGGAUGGAUAAGUUAGCGGUGAAAUGUACGAGCCUAACUCGGGAACUGCCUCUAAUACUGUUGAGCUAGAGAGUAGAUGCGGCAGGCGGAAGGUAUGGUGUAGCGGUGAAAUGCGUAGAGAUCAGACAGAACACCGAUUGCGAAGGCAGCUUACCAAUCUAUAUCUGACGUUGAGGCACGAAAGCGUGGGGAGCAAACAGGAUUAGAUACCCGAGUAGUC